rnacentral:rRNA from 1 species
AUGUAUAGCAAUAGCUAUUUGCACUAAUUUUUUUUUAGUGUAAAAUCGACUAUGUUGAAUGAAAUUCUGGGUAGGUUUAUGAUAAUGACAUUACCUGUCUAUAAGUCUUGACCAAAUUACGUGCCAGCAGUCGCGGCAAUACGUAGAAGACAAGUGUUAUUCAUCUUUAAUAGGUUUAAAGGGUACUUAGACGGUAAAUAAAGCCUUUAAAAGGGACUAGUUUGCUAGAGUUUUAUGUGAAGGGGUUUUAAAGUACUACUGGUGUAGAGAUGAAAUUCAGUCAUACCUAAGAUGGCACAGGUUAAGGCGAAAGCAUCUUCUUAUGUAAAAACUGACGUUGAAGGACGAAGGCUUUGUGUCUCGAACAGGAUUAGAUACCCUAGUAGUCUAAGCAGAAAAUGAUGAAUGUCAUAGAUUAGAUAUAAUUUGAUCUAUAAAUGAAAGUGUAAGCAUUCCACCUCAAGAGUAAUUUGGCAACAUUGGAACUGAAAUCAUUAGACCGUUUCUGAAACCAGUAGUGAAGUAUGUUGUUUAAUUUGAUAGUCCGCAAAAAACCUUACCACAAUUUGAAUAGAUAUAAUUUAUCAUACAAGCGUUGCACGGCUGUCUUCAGUUAAUGUCGUGAGACUUUGGUUAGUUCCAUUAAAUUAACGUAAACCCUUACUUUAUUUUUAUAUAAAGUAGUUCACCGCUAUAUUGGAUG